rnacentral:rRNA from 2 species
UACAGAGGUCUCAAGCGUUGUUCGGAAUCACUGGGCGUAAAGGGUGCGUAGGCGGCGCGGAAAGUCAGAUGUGAAAUCCGGGGGCUCAACCCCCGAAUAGCAUCCGAUACUCCCGCGCUCGAGGGCUGUAGGGGGGUCUGGAAUUCUCGGUGUAGCAGUGAAAUGCGUAGAUAUCGAGAAGAACGCUCGUGGCGAAGGCGAGACCCUGGACAGCAUCUGACGCUGAGGCACGAAGGCUAGGGGAGCAAACGGG